AUGCAAGUCGAGCGGGGGAAGGUAGCUUGCUACUGGACCUAGCGGCGGACGGGUGAGUAAUGCUUAGGAAUCUGCCUAUUAGUGGGGGACAACAUCUCGAAAGGGAUGCUAAUACCGCAUACGUCCUACGGGAGAAAGCAGGGGAUCUUCGGACCUUGCGCUAAUAGAUGAGCCUAAGUCGGAUUAGCUAGUUGGUGGGGUAAAGGCCUACCAAGGCGACGAUCUGUAGCGGGUCUGAGAGGAUGAUCCGCCACACUGGGACUGAGACACGGCCCAGACUCCUACGGGAGGCAGCAGUGGGGAAUAUUGGACAAUGGGGGGAACCCUGAUCCAGCCAUGCCGCGUGUGUGAAGAAGGCCUUAUGGUUGUAAAGCACUUUAAGCGAGGAGGAGGCUACUUUAGUUAAUACCUAGAGAUAGUGGACGUUACUCGCAGAAUAAGCACCGGCUAACUCUGUGCCAGCAGCCGCGGUAAUACAGAGGGUGCGAGCGUUAAUCGGAUUUACUGGGCGUAAAGCGUGCGUAGGCGGCUUAUUAAGUCGGAUGUGAAAUCCCCGAGCUUAACUUGGGAAUUGCAUUCGAUACUGGUGAGCUAGAGUAUGGGAGAGGAUGGUAGAAUUCCAGGUGUAGCGGUGAAAUGCGUAGAGAUCUGGAGGAAUACCGAUGGCGAAGGCAGCCAUCUGGCCUAAUACUGACGCUGAGGUACGAAAGCAUGGGGAGCAAACAGGAUUAGAUACCCUGGGUAGUCCAUGCCGUAAACGAUGUCUA
rnacentral:rRNA from 1 species